UCAACUCACCAAAAUGGUGGUCGAAGCGCU
rnacentral:sRNA from 1 species